GACGAACGCUGGCGGCGUGCUUAACACAUGCAAGUCGAACGGAAAGGCCCCCUUGUGGGGUACUCGAGUGGCGAACGGGUGAGUAACACGUGAGUAACCUACCCUUGACUUUGGGAUAACUUCAGGAAACUGGGGCUAAUACCGGAUAGGAGCUCCUGCUGCAUGGUGGGGGUUGGAAAGUUUCGGCGGUUGGGGAUGGGCUCGCGGCUUAUCAGCUUGUUGGUGGGGUAGUGGCUCACCAAGGCUUUGACGGGUAGCCGGCCUGAGAGGGUGACCGGCAACAUUGGGACUGAGAUACGGCCCAGACUCCUACGGGAGGCAGCAGUGGGGAAUAUUGCACAAUGGGCGGAAGCCUGAUGCAGCAACGCCGCGUGCGGGAUGACGGCCUUCGGGUUGUAAACCGCUUUCGCCUGUGACGAAGCGUGAGUGACGGUAAUGGGUAAAGAAGCACCGGCUAACUCCGUG
rnacentral:rRNA from 1 species